rnacentral:lncRNA from 1 species
AAAGAACAUUCAGUGUGUCAAAAUGUCGAGAUAGUCGUUGUGGAGCAUGUCCGUAUAUCCAUGUCGGCAAGGGAAUGGACAUACCUAAUGGUCUAUCACUUUUUACCAACGAAGACAUUACCUGUAAAUCCGAGAACUUAAUUUAUUGCAUUAAAUGUAAUGGUUGCCAGGAAAUUUAUAUCGGCCAAACAGGGAACAGUGUAACAGAAAGAGUGCGCAUUCAUAGACAACAUAUAAGGCAGCCACAAUA